AAAUUGAAGAGUUUGAUCAUGGCUCAGAUUGAACGCUGGCGGCAGGCCUAACACAUGCAAGUCGAACGGUAACAGGAAACAGCUUGCUGUUUCGCUGACGAGUGGCGGACGGGUGAGUAAUGUCUGGGAAACUGCCUGAUGGAGGGGGAUAACUACUGGAAACGGUAGCUAAUACCGCAUAACGUCGCAAGACCAAAGAGGGGGACCUUCGGGCCUCUUGCCAUCGGAUGUGCCCAGAUGGGAUUAGCUAGUAGGUGGGGUAACGGCUCACCUAGGCGACGAUCCCUAGCUGGUCUGAGAGGAUGACCAGCCACACUGGAACUGAGACACGGUCCAGACUCCUACGGGAGGCAGCAGUGGGGAAUAUUGCACAAUGGGCGCAAGCCUGAUGCAGCCAUGCCGCGUGUAUGAAGAAGGCCUUCGGGUUGUAAAGUACUUUCAGCGGGGAGGAAGGGAGUAAAGUUAAUACCUUUGCUCAUUGACGUUACCCGCAGAAGAAGCACCGGCUAACUCCGUGCCAGCAGCCGCGGUAAUACGGAGGGUGCAAGCGUUAAUCGGAAUUACUGGGCGUAAAGCGCACGCAGGCGGUUUGUUAAGUCAGAUGUGAAAUCCCCGGGCUCAACCUGGGAACUGCAUCUGAUACUGGCAAGCUUGAGUCUCGUAGAGGGGGGUAGAAUUCCAGGUGUAGCGGUGAAAUGCGUAGAGAUCUGGAGGAAUACCGGUGGCGAAGGCGGCCCCCUGGACGAAGACUGACGCUCAGGUGCGAAAGCGUGGGGAGCAAACAGGAUUAGAUACCCUGGUAGUCCACGCCGUAAACGAUGUCGACUUGGAGGUUGUGCCCUUGAGGCGUGGCUUCCGGAGCUAACGCGUUAAGUCGACCGCCUGGGGAGUACAGCCGCAAGGUUAAAACUCAAAUGAAUUGACGGGGGCCCGCACAAGCGGUGGAGCAUGUGGUUUAAUUCGAUGCAACGCGAAGAACCUUACCUGGUCUUGACAUCCACGGAAGUUUUCAGAGAUGAGAAUGUGCCUUCGGGAACCGUGAGACAGGUGCUGCAUGGCUGUCGUCAGCUCGUGUUGUGAAAUGUUGGGUUAAGUCCCGCAACGAGCGCAACCCUUAUCCUUUGUUGCCAGCGGUCCGGCCGGGAACUCAAAGGAGACUGCCAGUGAUAAACUGGAGGAAGGUGGGGAUGACGUCAAGUCAUCAUGGCCCUUACGACCAGGGCUACACACGUGCUACAAUGGCGCAUACAAAGAGAAGCGACCUCGCGAGAGCAAGCGGACCUCAUAAAGUGCGUCGUAGUCCGGAUUGGAGUCUGCAACUCGACUCCAUGAAGUCGGAAUCGCUAGUAAUCGUGGAUCAGAAUGCCACGGUGAAUACGUUCCCGGGCCUUGUACACACCGCCCGUCACACCAUGGGAGUGGGUUGCAAAAGAAGUAGGUAGCUUAACCUUCGGGAGGGCGCUUACCACUUUGUGAUUCAUGACUGGGGUGAAGUCGUAACAAGGUAACCGUAGGGGAACCUGCGGUUGGAUCACCUCCUUACCUUAAAGAAGC
rnacentral:rRNA from 1 species